GGUUUUAUAGUCAAAAAAUGAUAUUAGACUGCAAUUCUAAAGUUGUUUAGAUAAACUAAGACCU
rnacentral:tRNA from 1 species